UAAGGAAUAUUGGGCAAUGGACGGAAGUCUGACCCAGCCAUCCCGCGUGCAGGAAGAAUGCCCUAUGGGUUGUAAACUGCUUUUGUUUGGGAAGAAAUGUACUUUUUUAAGAGUAUUUGACGGUACCAGACGAAUAAGCACCGGCUAACUCCGUGCCAGCAGCCGCGGUAAUACGGAGGGUGCAAGCGUUAUCCGGAAUCACUGGGUUUAAAGGGUGCGUAGGCGGCCAGAUAAGUCAGAGGUGAAAGUUUCCGGCUCAACCGGGAGAUUGCCUUUGAUACUGUUUGGCUUGAAUCAGAUUGAGGUUGGCGGAAUGUGACAUGUAGCGGUGAAAUGCAUAGAUAUGUCAUAGAACAUCGAUUGCGAAGGCAGCUGGCUGGAUCUG
rnacentral:rRNA from 1 species